AACGAACGCUGGCGGCAGGCUUAACACAUGCAAGUCGAACGCCCCGCAAGGGGAGUGGCAGACGGGUGAGUAACGCGUGGGAAUCUACCUAGUUCUACGGAACAACUGAGGGAAACUUCAGCUAAUACCGUAUACGCCCUACGGGGGAAAGAUUUAUCGGAAUUAGAUGAGCCCGCGUUGGAUUAGCUAGUUGGUGGGGUAAUGGCCUACCAAGGCGACGAUCCAUAGCUGGUCUGAGAGGAUGAUCAGCCACACUGGGACUGAGACACGGCCCAGACUCCUACGGGAGGCAGCAGUGGGGAAUAUUGGACAAUGGGCGCAAGCCUGAUCCAGCCAUGCCGCGUGAGUGAUGAAGGCCUUAGGGUUGUAAAGCUCUUUCAGUGGGGAAGAUAAUGACGGUACCCACAGAAGAAGCCCCGGCUAACUUCGUGCCAGCCGCCGCGGUAAGAC
rnacentral:rRNA from 1 species